rnacentral:rRNA from 1 species
CAACCCUUGACAUGGGACGUAUGGGCUUCAGAGAUGGGGUCCUUCAGUUCGGCUGGCGUCCACACAGGUGCUGCAUGGCUGUCGUCAGCUCGUGUCGUGAGAUGUUGGGUUAAGUCCCGCAACGAGCGCAACCCUCAUCUUCAGUUACCAUCAUUUGGUUGGGCACUCUGGAGAAACUGCCGGUGACAAGCCGGAGGAAGGCGGGGAUGACGUCAAGUCCUCAUGGCCCUUACGGGUUGGGCUACACACGUGCUACAAUGGUGGUGACAAUGGGGAGCAAAGGCGCGAGCCCGAGCCGAUCUCAAAAAGCCAUCUCAGUUCGGAUUGCACUCUGCAACUCGGGUGCAUGAAGUUGGAAUCGCUAGUAAUCGUGGAUCAGCAUGCCACGGUGAAUACGUUCCC